rnacentral:rRNA from 1 species
UACAGAGGUCCCAAGCGUUGUUCGGAUUCACUGGGCGUAAAGGGUGCGUAGGCGGUCGGGUAAGUCUGACGUGAAAUCUUCAAGCUCAACUUGGAAACUGCGUCGGAUACUAUUCGGCUAGAGGAAUGGAGGGGAGACUGGAAUACUUGGUGUAGCAGUGAAGUGCGUAGAUAUCAAGUGGAACACCAGUGGCGAAGGCGAGUCUCUGGACAUUUCCUGACGCUGAGGCACGAAAGCCAGGGGAGCAAACGGG